UUUUUAUACAAGUUAUUAAUCUAUUUAUUUACUAGAUUAUAAAUCAGUUUCUACAGUCAAAUGUUAAACAUAACACAAUAAGCAAAAUAAUCUAAGCAUCCACAUCCCACGACUGUAUACCAUCAAGACCGGUUUCGCUAUGUCAAUAAGCUGGUGCAAGGAGAUGCGAAAAAAACGAAUAUUCUCUGGGUCCUGGACUGUGGUCUGUUUUUCCACUGAACAGAUCGCUAAAUGUAUCGAUCCAUUUGCAGUGGUAAAAAAAAUGUAGAAUCUUCUUCAAGACUACACUGCAUUGAAAAAUUGUACGUGCAACCGGUUAUGAGAUCAGCAUUCCGAAGCAAACUUACUAUAUACGCACAUACGACAAAGGUACCUAUAUAAGCAUAAUACUAUUUCAUAUUGCAUAAUAGUAUUGUUAACAUGGGUAAGUAUUAUACGACUAUACGUAUAACCUAUCGCAUUUUAUUAUAAACGUGUUCAAUUCACUUGCCUGCAUCGGCAUUCAUACAAAAAGAUUUAAGGAUUGAAUUAUUUCUAAUCAAAUAAUAACGAGUUCAUGUAUCGAUUUAAUAAUAUAAACGCGUCAAGAAAAACCUGUUGAUGACGCAAAACACCCUUCGCAAACACUUGAAGAUACCAAUUAUAUUUAAUCUACAAUGGUAUUUUUUGCAGUUCUCAUAAAGUCUAUAGGUAAUAAUAUUAAAUACAUUUAAGUAUGUAUAUUGUAAAAUGUAAAUACAAGAGCUAAUUAAUUGCUUGAGAGAACGUAUUUCAGUCAUUUUACCAAAUCAAAUAACACAACACCGAACGAAAGCUACACUUGUAGAAAUGAUUUAUCAGAAAGCGUAACACGACGAUAUUUUAUACAAUUUAAUUUUGUUAUUAUGAUAGUGUUUCGCUGCUAUAAUGGUUGCCUAAUAUGUGAGUACAAUGGCGUAAAUGCUACAUUUUUUUUUACAUUUUGUGUGCGAUAUUCACAAAUAAAAAAGCUUCCUUUGCUUAUCUAUACAACUGUUGAUUAUAUCAACUUGAAAUUGGCUUCUCUAGAAAUUUUAUUUAUCGAAAAAACAAAUUACUAAAUCACAAAUAAAAUAUCUACUUCAUAAAUCGUAUCAAUCAAGUUUAAAAAAAAAUUAAUUGAUAAAAACUCCGAAAAAUAUUUUUUGAACGUAUAACCGGUAAUCAGUAAAUAACGAAAAAAAAAUACAUCUGGUAAAAAAAUAUCUGUCUGGUAAAAAAUGACACUGUAAAAAACGACAAGGUUAAGAACGAAAAAAUUAUAAUUUUGAAGGUGACACGAAGACGAAAAUUUAUAAACAAUUCGAAUUGUGAAAAUAAGAGCAUUCAUAAUUCAAUUUCAAUAUCAAUUUCAAUUUUAUGGUUUUCAAUAUAAAUACAUUAAGUUUAACUAUACAGUAAAAACUCGAUUAACUGUCACUCAUCGUAGUAAAAAUAGGUGUAAAUACAACUGAUAAUAUUAGAUAAUAUUAACCUAACCUAUCGUUCAUUGAUAACAUUAAUUUACAAUACAAUCGAACGACUCGAACUUGAGGAUGUGCAAGUGAAUUUCUUUAGUCAACACAAAAACCAAAUCCGAACCGACCACGGCAGAUAUGUAACAUGGUACACAAAAAUGAAAUACACUCACAACACCAAAUUGUGAUUGCAACUACCCUAAGUCCAAACAAUAUUUUAUAUCAUCAAGCAUCAGCGGAUGUCGGAUGCCGGAUGCUCAAAUAGAAAAUACAAUGAAAGCUUGAAAGAGUAGUUCAAUGUGACUUCGAGUGAAGUGGCUAACAAAUUUCGAUUCUAUAAAUUAUUAAAUAUAAUAGCUACCACGCGUUACCUUGUUAUCUAUGUAAGUCUAAAUUCUACUACCUAAUGCAUUAUUAUAUUAUUAUUGUGUUAUUCACUUUCGUUGUAUUGUAUUUUUGUAUUUCUGUUUUACUGUUAUCAAUUAUUCGACUAAUGUUUGUUAUAAUUACUUAAUAUAUUUACAACACUAAUUGUACAACAGUAGUUCUGUACUAAUCAUUAUAAACGCCUUACAAAUAAAUAAAUAAU